CUGGGGCAAAGGCUUAUCUCCUAGUUCCUUGAAUAAUCUCCCUGGUACAUAUGUAGGAGUAGCAAGCCCCAUUCUAGCAUCUACUUUACGCAGCAAAGAUGGAAAAAGUGCUGCUUUUGUUGAGGAUUUUCAGACAUUUGCCAAACAGGAAACCAUCUCCAUCAUUGACCAAGGAGAGCAGCCGGUCUGUAGAGAGAGGCAAGUGCCAUUUGCUGUUAAAGGUGCCCAGCAUAGUAAAGGUGGAAAGCUCUUGACAGGUACUCAAGAAGGUUUUUUAUCCACCCAAUUAUGUGCUACAUCAAAUUCAAAGCUCCACCGGAAAUCUGUUGGUGGAAAGGGAGGCUCCCUGUUUACACCUCCAGUUAAAUCCAUGUGGCAACCAUCCUGUGUUCUUUCCCAAGGGACAUCCCUGCAGAAGAGACCAAGUCCGACUCAAACCCCAAAGACGAAGAGCACCCUUGGUUGUGAGAGAGUCCUGUUCCAUAACUCCCCCUUAAGUCCAACUAAAGUAGAGGAUGAAAAGUGGGAGAAGGCCAAAUCCCCCCUGUCUAACCUGGAGUCGAUAGUGAAGCAGAAAACUCUCGAGACCACUGCACUUACUGGUGAGAACUACUGUAAUCUGUCUUCUGUGGGAUCCAAGAGGCCUGAGAUAGCCAGCGUGCAGAACAGGUGUCAGGAGUCCACGUUGCAGCAGACCCUUACCACUGGUUCCUCCCCAUUCAGAGCCAUAGAAGGACAGGCCAUCAAGUCAGAUAGAACCUCUCCACAAACGGACACCAUAGCAGCUCUAAGCAGCCCGGAGAUCACAAUCGUUUCUGUGCCCAAGGAUAAGGGACGAGAGAAACAGGCAAAACAGACAGAAAAUCUAGCAUCAGAUGGUAGACAAAAAAUGAAAUCUGGUACCCCUAGUAAAAGGAGUGCUCCCAGUGUUAAAGGAGAAUGGAAGGAAAGGAAACUGGCGCAACAGUUAGAGGAUGAGACGGCAAAAGAGGGGAAGGCAUCAGAGAGGAAGCUUUCUUCUCAUGUUAAGGCUGAAGGGAUAGCCCUAUCCCUCCUUCAGAGCCAGACCAUAGAAGCAGAAGGAGAGGCAAAAAUG
ensembl:lncRNA